AAAAAAAACUCAUCCUAUAAUGUGAACUUGUAAAUUCAAAGAGAGAAAAAAGAAGGAGGGUAGAGAGAAAAAUGGGAGAAGGAAAGAAAGGGAAGAGAAUGAAAUAGGAAACAUCCUAACCCCAUUUUUAUUUAAAAAUUGUUUUAAAGCCUUAAAUGGUGAGCCGGUGGGGCCCACCUUGUUUUACUUUUUUUGUGUUUUCCGGUCUCCCUCUCUCCUCUCUCAGUUCUCUCUCCUGUGUCUCUCUCUCGGACCUCAUCUCUCUCCCUUGCUGCAACUCCUUUUCCCUGAGCAACACACAGCCACGCCAUCUGCUGAGGACAUCACCAUCACAACCUCUGCAAUUUCCUUUCGGCGAGCACCGCCCCUUUCGAGGCCAUUUCCGGACAAACUACAGUGAGUUGGCCAGCGUGUAAGUUUCCGGCGACCUCCGAGGCUUUCGAGGCAUUUUCCGGCUAAACCAUGGUGAGUUAGACGUCGUGUGAGGGGCAAUUAUUAUGACUUUUCCAUCUUCGCUUGUGGCGCAGCUUUUGGCAUCUAAGUAUUGACUUAGGAUCAAGGCACCUAAUCCCGACGUCAAGACACUUCCGCAGCAGCAUCUUUGAAUCCUCUCGAUGUAUGACCCAUUUCUUUAUUCAUUCAAUUUUAUCUUAAUUCUUUUUAGUGAUUAGGUUUAGUUGUAUGCUCUGAACACGUUCCUAAAUUAUUAAUUCAUUGUAUUUUAAA